rfam:Callithrix jacchus chromosome X, whole genome shotgun sequence
AUAUAGGCUUUAUUGAAAGCCAAUCCAUAGUCGUUUGAACAAAUAUU